rnacentral:rRNA from 1 species
UGGGGAAUCUUCCGCAAUGGGCGAAAGCCUGACGGAGCAACGCCGCGUGAGUGAAGACGGCCUUCGGGUUGUAAAGCUCUGUUAUACGGGACGAAUAAUCUUGUGGUUAAUACCCAUGAGAAGUGACGGUACCGUAAGAGAAAGCCACGGCUAACUACGCGCCAGCAGCCGCGGUAAUACGUAGGUGGCAAGCGUUGUCCGGAAUUAUUGGGCGUAAAGGGCGCGCAGGCGGCUUCUUAAGUCUGUCUUAAAAGUGCGGGGCUUAACCCCGUGAUGGGAUGGAAACUGGGAAGCUCAGAGUAUCGGAGAGGAAAGCGGAAUUCCUAGUGUAGCGGUGAAAUGCGUAGAUAUUAGGAGGAACACCAGUGGCGAAAGCGGCUUUCUGGACGAAAACUGACGCUGAGGCGCGAAAGCCAGGGGAGCGAACGGGAUUAGAUACCCCGGUAGUCCUGGCCGUAAACGAUGGGUACUAGGUGUAGGAGGUAUCGACCCCUUCUGUGCCGGAGUUAACGCAAUAAGUACCCCGCCUGGGGAGUACGGCCGCAAGGUUG